rnacentral:rRNA from 1 species
CCUACGGGUGGCAGCAGUGGGGAAUAUUGGGCAAUGGGCGCAAGCCUGACCCAGCCACGCCGCGUGAAGGAAGACGGCUUUCGGGUUGUUAACUUCUUUUGAUAGGGAAGAGCAGAAGACGGUACCUGUCGAAUAAGCCACGGCUAACUACGUGCAAGCAGCCGCUGUAAUACGUAGGUGGCGAGCGUUGUCCGGAUUUACUGGGUGUAAAGGGUGUGUAGCCGGGCUGACAAGUCAGGUGUGAAAUCCGGGGGCUCAACCCCCGGACUGCAGUUGAAACUGUUGGUCUUGAGUACCGGGAAGGCAGGCGGAAUUCGUAGUGUAGCGGUGAAAUGCGUAGAUAUUAGGAGGAACACCAGUGGCGAAGGCGGCCUGCUGGACGACAACUGACGGUGAGGCGCGAAAGCGGGGGGAGCGAACAGGAUUAGAUACCCUAGUAGUC